AGUGAUCUCCCCUCCGGAAAGAGGAGGGGAUUUUGAUAAAAAAAUCCUCCAACGUGAGGCCCGUUGGAUUUUUGACCAACGGGCCACCUAUGUACCAGGGCUCAACACAUCCCUGUCAUUUAAACCUUUUUUAUAGGGUAAUGCCAUGGCCGUGAUUAAUCAUCAUUAAACCCCAUUAGAAUACAUUUUAUACAUUCAUUUAUCAUUGGUUCAAAUCACAGAGAUUUAACUUAUAAAUCAUAUAUAUACUUUAAUAUAGGUCGCCCUGUUAGGGCUAAUUAUAUCUUUACCUUAGGUACCAGCCCUAUAUAGAUAUAAGGCAAAUUAUAUCUUUGCCUUAGGUACUAGUCCUAUAUAGAUAUAAUGAAUCAUUGGUGAUAAAUACAUGAUAUGAACUUUAUGAUCUAUGGCUAUAUUGCCUCUCCCUCUAUCAUUGGCUCAAAUGUAUCUCUUGUGUUUUUUGUUUUGCUUUUUUAUGUUUUUUGUUUUUGUUUUAUUUAUUUUCUUACUUGGAUUGUAUUUUGCUUUGUUCCAUCUUGCCUUGUUAUAUUAUGAUUUAUGAGUUAGCAAUUGGAAAAUGUCAAAACUUUCUAAAAAUAUUCAUUAUUGCAGAUGUCUUUUUCAUUAACCUUCCCUCAGAUAAGACAGUGUAAAAAUAAGCCAUUGGAUGUCCAGCUGAGAGAAAUCAGUAGUAUAUUCUAAUAUAUUUCUUCAUAGUUAAAUACACGCGUUAUUGCGUAUAACUUAUUAUUAGUGUUUAUUAAAAUUUUCUUUUUGCGUUUUCUGAGCUCUGAACCAUUCCAUUUAACAUGGGGAGGGAUUCCUGAUGCGGAGGGAGGUCGGAUCCUGCACAGCCUUGGUGUGGCCAAUCACAGGUCCCAACACAGGGGGCGUGCUCUCUUCAAUGCCUCCCGUCCCUAUUAUCAACAUCUGAUGGGACGCGCGCGCAUAUCCGGCCACUAUUUCGUCUCUGGCCGGUCUGAGACUGUUAAUACAUGUCUCCUUCCUAUGCGCUCCAGCUUACAUCAUCACGCUGGAGCGCAUGGGAUGCGCGCGCAAGUGUCUUGGGACACGUGGACCGGAUAUGACGCCAGGGGUCAUGCUUGACUCUCUUCACUUCCGGUGGAGAUGUUGCUCUUAAGGUCAGCGCUGACACAGUGUGUGUCAGACGCCGACUUGGACGGCUUGAGGGAGGAUAUCACGCCACACAUGCAACGCUGCCUUACUUAGCCUCGCGGUGUUAAGACAUAAAUAAGAAUCGCAGUAUAAACAACAUAUAUAACUGCCCUUGGACUAUUCUACAGCAUUGUCUUUGGUUAUAAUACUACUGGGAUAUUAUAUCCCCCUAGGACAUCAGCAUAUUUUACUAGAUACUUCAUGUCAUUAACCAUCUAAGAGCUUACCGUGAAUCCAGUGUGAACUCUGCUGGACUCUACUAGCAGUAUUGAGCUUAUAUCCAAACUUCACUACUAUUGAGGAGAGAAAUAGAUACAACGUAUUCUUACCUGUAUCUCUUCCUCCUUAACUGUGGUGAACCCCCUCUUUACAUCUCAUUGUCCGCACCUGCUAAAAUCAAGUGGAUCUGGCCUCCGCUGAUUGAAAGUGCAGCAUCCAAUAUCUCCUGUCCGCAUCAGGUUCGCCUUCGCUAUUUUUCUUGGCAGCUCCUCUUGGUUCUGCCAGGUUCUUUGAGCUCUUUAAACAUAAUUGGUAAGCGCACUAUAUUCUCUUAUUCUUAUUUUAUUAAUUGUAUAUGUGUUGAACACUUAUUUACAAAGUUUAAAGAUACUACAUUGACCCUACCUGAAUUAAUAAUGAACCUUUGUGUCAUACACAGACCACUACAUGUAAUUAAGGAACAGAAGUAUCAUGCAAGCCCUGAUGAAGCACAUCUAGUG